rnacentral:rRNA from 1 species
GACGAACGCUGGCGGCGUGCCUAAUACAUGCAAGUCGAGCGAAGCGGCGGAUGGUUGAGUAACGCGUGGGUAACGUGCCCUUAAGUCUGGGAUACCAUUUGGAAACAGAUGCUAAUACCGGACACUAAAGGAUGGACUUGCGAUGCAUUAGCUCGGUGGUAAGGUAACGGCCUACAAAGGCGAUGAUGCAUAGCCGAGUUGAGAGACUGAUCGGCCACAUUGUGACUGAGACACGGCCCAAACUCCUACGGGAGGCAGAAGUAGGGAAUAUUGAACAAUGGGCGCAAGCCUGAUGCAGCCAUGCCGCGUGUAUGAAGAAGGCCUGCGGGUUGUAAAGUACUGUCAGCGAGGAGGCGUUACUCGCAGAAGAAGCACCGGCUAACUCCGUGCCAGCAGCCGCGGUAAUUC